UCCCUUCUAUUUCCAUGACCUAACACACCUAGCUCCCCAUGGCAGGUGAGUUAUCACUGCUCCCACUGCUCCCAGAACCAUUCCUGGAUGACUCUCCAACCCUCUGGCUGAUGUACCUGCCCCUGCUUGCCCUGUGCAAAGUGCUUGCCCUGUGCAAGGUGCUCUCCUCCGUGCAUGUGCUGGACCUGGAAGCUUGGGGCUACAUCAAGCCCCACGUGGACAGCGUCAAGUUCUGCGGGGCCACCAUCGCAGGCCUGUCUCUCCUGUCUCCCAGCGUUAUGCGACUAGUGCACACCCAGGAGCCGGGGGAGUGGCUGGAACUCUUGCUGGAGCCAGGCUCCCUCUACAUCCUUAGGGGUUCAGCCCGUUAUGACUUCUCCCAUGAGAUCCUUCGGGACGAAGAAUCCUUCUUUGGGGAGCAUCAGAUUCCCCGGGGCUGGCAAAUCUCUGUGAUCUGCCGCUCCCUCCCUGAGGGCAUGGGGACAGGGGAAUCUGGACAGUCGCCCCCAGCCUGCUGACCCCUAGCUUUCUAGACACUGGAUUUCUGAAUAAAGCUGGGAAUGGACAACCCA